UACGUAGGGUGCGAGCGUUGUCCGGAUUUAUUGGGCGUAAAGCGCGUGUAGGCGGCCAGGUAGGUCGGUUGUGAAAACUGGAGGCUCAACCUCCAGACGUCGACCGAAACCAUCUGGCUAGAGUCCGGAAGAGGAGAGUGGAAUUCCUGGUGUAGCGGUGAAAUGCGCAGAUAUCAGGAAGAACACCGAUGGCGAAGGCAGCUCUCUGGGACGGUACUGACGCUGAGACGCGAAAGCGUGGGGAGCGAACAGG
rnacentral:rRNA from 1 species